UGCGUAGGUGGCAGAUCAAGUCUGGAGUAAAAGGUAUGGGCUCAACCCGUACUGGCUCUGGAAACUGAUCAGCUAGAGAACAGAAGAGGACGGCGGAACUCCAUGUGUAGCGGUAAAAUGCGUAGAUAUAUGGAAGAACACCGGUGGCGAAGGCGGCCGUCUGGUCUGGAUUCUGACACUGAAGCACGAAAGCGUGGGGGAGCAAAUA
rnacentral:rRNA from 1 species